CUACGGGCGGCUGCAGUGGGGAAUAUUGCACAAUGGGGGAAACCCUGAUGCAGCAACGCCGCGUGGAGGAUGACGCAUUUCGGUGUGUAAACUCCUUUUAUAUAGGAAGAUAAUGACGGUACUAUAUGAAUAAGCACCGGCUAACUCCGUGCCAGCAGCCGCGGUAAUACGGAGGGUGCAAGCGUUACUCGGAAUCACUGGGCGUAAAGCGCGCGCAGGCGGCCCCUUAAGUUGGAUGUGAAAGCCUACGGCUUAACCGUAGAACUGCAUCCAAAACUGAGGGGCUAGAGUCUGGGAGGGGGAGAUGGAAUUAGUUGUGUAGGGGUAAAAUCCGUAGAGAUAACUAGGAAUACCAAAAGCGAAGGCGAUCUUCUGGAACAGUACUGACGCUGAGGCGCGAAAGCGUGGGGAGCAAACAGGAUUAGAUACCCGGGUAGUC
rnacentral:rRNA from 1 species